rnacentral:sRNA from 1 species
GGAAUCUUUGGAAAGAACUGGCUUUUGUUCAGCCCUUAGGGAAGAAAGCCUGUGGCCUUUAGCAAGCAAGGAUGGGGGUGUAACCAGGCUCAUCAGACCUCCCAUCCCCUCACAGCCACAGACCCAGCUUUAAGUUUCCCAGAUGGAAGAUUCAUUCUUACUGCAGAUCUUAGCAACCUCAGCACAUGACUCUUUUUCUUUCCUCAUUAAGUCAAGAACCUUUGGCCUUUUCACUUAAAAGAAGCACUCUAAGGCUUCGCUUUGACAUACCCCAGUUGCCAGCAUCACUACUGUUUGGGACCAUUAGGAAGUAAAUUCAGGGAGACUUGAACACAAGCACUGCUUAUCUCGAAAGCUGAUCUGCUCACCGAGGUGGCCCUUGAGCAUGGACAGCCUGGAUCUGCUGGCAAAGAGCUCCUGGGAAGGUGCUGCUGGAUGCAGUUUGCAACCACCUCAAC